rnacentral:rRNA from 1 species
GUGGGGAAUUUUGGACAAUGGGCGCAAGCCUGAUCCAGCAAUGCCGCGUGCAGGAAGAAGGCCUUCGGGUUGUAAACUGCUUUUGUACGGAACGAAACGGUUCUGGUUAAUACCUGGGGCUCAUGACGGUACCGUAAGAAUAAGCACCGGCUAACUACGUGCCAGCAGCCGCGGUAAUACGUAGGGUGCAAGCGUUAAUCGGAAUUACUGGGCGUAAAGCGUGCGCAGGCGGUUUUGUAAGACAGAGGUGAAAUCCCCGGGCUCAACCUGGGAAUUGCCUGUGUGACUGCAAGGCUGGAGUGCGGCAGAGGGGGAUGGAAUUCCGCGUGUAGCAGUGAAAUGCGUAGAUAUGCGGAGGAACACCGAUGGCGAAGGCAAUCCCCUGGGCCUGCACUGACGCUCAUGCACGAAAGCGUGGGGAGCAAACAGGAUUAGAAACCCUGGUAGUCC